rnacentral:rRNA from 1 species
CGUUGAUCCUGCGGGAGGUUGCUGCUAUUGGGGUUCGAUUUAGCCAUGCAAGUCUAGGGGGUGUUUCGGCACCACCGGCAAAAUGCUCAGUAACACGUUGUUAAUCUGCCCUUAGGUAAGGGAUAGCCUUGGGAAACUGAGGGUAAUACCUUAUAGAGGAAUUGUUCUGGAAAUGAUUUUUCCUUUAAAGAUUACGCCUAAGGAUGAGACAGCGGCGGAUUAGGUUGUUGGCGAGGUAAUGGCCCACCAAGCUUAAGAUCCGUACGGGCCGUGAGAGCGGUAGCCCGGAGAAGGACACUGAGAUACUGGUCCUAGCCCUACGGGGUGCAGGCGCGAAACCUUUACAAUGCACGAAAGUGUGAUAAGGGAACCCCAAGUGCUCAUGUUCUACAUGGGCUUUUGUUAAGUGUAAAUAGCUUAGCGAAUAAGUGGUGGGUAAGACUGGUGCCAGCAGCCGCGGUAACACCAGCGCCACGAGUGGGAACCAUGUUUAUUGGGCCUAAAGCGUCCGUAGCUGGUUUGGUAAAAUCUUUUGUGAAAUCAUUCGGCUUAACCGAAUGGCGUGCAGAAGAGACUGCCAGACUCGAGACCGGGAGGAGUCAGGGGAAUUCUGAGGGGAGCGGUAAAAUGCAAUAAUCCUCAGCGGACCACCUGUGGCGAAGGCGCCUGACUAGAACGGUUCUGACAGUGAGGGACGAAAGCUAGGGGAGCGAUCCGGAUUAGAUACCCGAGUAGUCCUAGCCGUAAACGCUGCGAGCAAGGCGUUGCAUUUUCUACGUGAAUAUGCAGUGUCGAAGAGAAGUCGUUAAGCUCGCCGCCUGGGAAGUAUGGUCGCAAGACUGAAACUUAAAGGAAUUGGCGGGGGAGCACUACAAGGGGUGCGGCGUGCGGUUCAAUCUAACUCAACGCAGAGAACCUCACCAGGGGUGACGGCAGGAUGAAAGUCAGUUUAAAGGGCUUACUUGACGAGCCGAGAGGUAGUGCAUGGCCGCCGUCAGCUCGUGCCGUAAGGUGUCCUGUUAAGUCAGGCAACGAGCGAGACCUGUACCCAUAAUUGUCAGCAGCGUCUUCGGACGGACUGAACCCCUUAUGGGAACUGCCCUGGAAACAGGGAGGAAGGUGCAGGCUACGGUAGGUCUGUAUGCUCCGAAUCCUCUGGGCUACACGCGCGCAACAAUGGUAAGGACAAAAGGAUGCAACUCCGAAAGGAGAAGCUAAACCCAUAAACCUUAUCUUAGUCUAGAUCGAGGUUUGCAACUCAGCCUCGUGACAAUGGAAUCCCUAGUAAUCGGGUGUCAACAUCGCCCGGUGAAUAUGUCCCUGCUCCUUGCACACACCGCCCGUCAAACCACUCGAGCAGGGUCUAGGUGAACUUUACCCUUUUGGAUAUCGUGAAUCUAGGCUCAGUGAGAUGGGUUAAGUCGUCACAAGGUA